CUUGAUCGAGCCGAGCAGCAGCGGCGCGGCGUCGCCCCGGUCCUGGCCGUAGGUGGCGAGCAGGGCCUGGGCCUC
rnacentral:antisense_RNA from 1 species